GCAGUGGUGGUUCAGGGGUAGAAUUCUUGCCUUUCAUUCAGGAGACCUAGGUCUGAUCCCCAGCCGAUGCA
rnacentral:tRNA from 1 species